ensembl:lncRNA
GACGCUUUCACAUGCAGCCUGAUCCACCUGAAGGAGCUGGACCUCUGUGGAAACAAACUGGGAGAUGGAGGUGUGAAGACCCUCUGCACAGCACUGACCUCAAAGACCUGUAAACUGGAGAGACUGUUUUUGGGGUGUUGUGAGAUUACUGCAGUGGGCUGCUCCUCCCUGGCCUUAGCCCUGAAGUCCGGCCACUCCAGCAUCACGCAACUGGGCCUGAUGGGAAACGACACAGGAGAAAAAGGACUGAGAAUUCUCUCUGCCAUCAGGGACGACCCACGCUACAAACUACAGACUCUAGAAAUAAAUGAUUGAUUGAGAGGCUUGGAUUCACAAAGUGGUUCUAAUACUUGGCAACUCUGCUUGAUCCUCAAGAAGAACAAUUCUGUUCUCUGCAUUGAAGAUACCAAAAGAAGAGCACUGGAGUGAAGUGAGUCCAAUGAACCUUGGUCAAAUGUAAUGCUGUAGAGAAGAGGGGCCCAUUUCAAAGACAGAUGGGGUCUGUAGACAACCGAAUUUUCUUCCAUCCACAAUUAAAGUGCCUUCAAGACAUCCUGCUGUGACUGUAUACCUGUCUCUGUUGAGAAGUGAUAUCUCAAGCAUCAAUACCAGCACUUGACAUUAACUUUUUUGCUCACCAGCCAGUGGCUGGUGGUUUUCCGAAGUUACUAGCCACUCACCACUUUCUCUAGCCACCACUUUGUUGUUGGGAAAUUACGUUUCAUUUGAUUAAAUUUGACAAUGAUAUGCCACAUCUAUCUUCUUCACGCUGUCGGUCAAUGGCGCGCAAGGCAAUAAGCCUAACACAAAUGGACCAGAAUCAAACAUUGUAUGCAGUCAGUGCUCAUGGGAGUUGUAGGGACGUUGCUCGUGGUGUCACAUUGCAGUGAGUUUAUUAUUUCUUAUCUUUUGAGAAGACUAAAAUAAAAAUAAAAAGUGGGUGUGUUUGUAUACCGGAUGCCCCUCUGUGAAAUAAUUUAAAUAAUAUGUGGCUACACUUGAAAAAGACAACUAUUUUAAUGUUAAAUCUGUCCUGUUGUCCAUUUGAGCAGCUAAUGCACACUAAAAUGUCCUCCCUAAUAGCAACCAAAGUAUACAAGCAAUAUAUUUAUUCUUACCAUAGGCCUGUCAACAUGUUAUUAAAAAGAAAAAUGAAAUCACUCAUCAGCUUAAUAAUUAAUCGAAGUCAAUAUUAUUGUCUAUUUCGUUAUGCAUCAAAAACGAAACAGCUGCAUAUAUUACAGCCUUUUGUCACGUUAUUUUUUCUCCAUCCUUGCCUUGAGGUCACAUGGUUUUUCUCCCUCUCGACUUCCUUCAGCUGAUCUAGGCUCUGCUGCUGUCGCUAAUCCAUUGUCUUCAGAUUCAUAUAUUUAUUAAAUAUGUUAAUUGUAUAUUUUUUUACACUGUAUAUUGCAUAUAUAGCCUAAUGUUUUUUUUGGUGAUAGUACAUACCCUAAUCUGAUGGUCUUUUCACCAGUCAUCUUCGUUUGUCUUGCGAUCUCUCAUUAAAUAAAUCUGUAAUUCUAGGUUACUAGAAGUGAACUGAAUUUUUAAAAAAAUGUUAUGCCAAAAAAAACAAAACAAGGAUCCACUUUUUUUCCCGACUUCCCUCCGCGAUGUCAGGACCUGUGUGGUCCUGUAUGCAAGGUUGACAUAUUUCAUUGUCAGUAAACUGCAAUUCUCCCGCUGAUUCCAGAGAAAAUCGACCCACCCAAGCCCAUUACAAAAUCCAAAUUUGUUUUGAAAAACCCUCACCUGGCUACAUGCAAAUAUGGAAUAGGUUUCCCCCUACCGUCACAUUAGUUGCAGUGAUUCGCUUGUAUUUUUUUUUAUGAGCGCAAAAUGUUUUUACCGUGGCAAUGCACAGAGGCGGUGCAAGAUUUUGGGAAGGCUCGCGCAUUUGAGUUUGGAAUGCUGGAAAACCCCUGUGUAUAGAUAAAUAAAAUUUCACCCGCAAGAGUGGCUAGUAAGUGUGACUGCGUUACGCGCCACAGCCGAAUUUCACCCGCAUUUGGCGGGUGGGCGAGUGCUAAAUGUCAAGCCCUGAUCAAUACAUUAAAGUACACUCAACUAUGAGCAAAUAUAAAGUAUGUUGAUUAUUUGUCUGUGUAACCUUUGCCUCAUAUUCUUAAAACAAAUAGACAUUUUUUGUUUUUAAUAAGUCCUUCUAUAGUGUCCUUUUAUUUGUGUUCAAUAAAAACAUUUUUUAAAGAAAA